GGGGCGGGGUCUUACCAUGCAGUCGAGCGGUAAGGCCCUUUGGGGUACACGAGCGGCGAACGGGUGAGUAACACGUGAGCAACCUGCCCCUGACUCUGGGAUAAGCGGUGGAAACGCCGUCUAAUACCGGAUAUGACCUGCUACCUCAUGGUGGCGGGUGGAAAGUUUUAUCGGUCAGGGAUGGGCUCGCGGCCUAUCAGCUUGUUGGUGGGGUAACGGCCUACCAAGGCGAUUACGGGUAGCCGGCCUGAGAGGGCGACCGGCCACACUGGGACUGAGACACGGCCCAGACUCCUGCGGGAGGCAGCAGUGGGGAAUAUUGCACAAUGGGCGAAAGCCUGAUGCAGCGACGCCGCGUGGGGGAUGACGGCCUUCGGGUUGUAAACCUCUUUUACCACCAACGCAGGCUCCGGGUUUUCUCGGGGUUGACGGUAGGUGGGGAAUAAGGACCGGCUAACUACGUGCCAGCAGCCGCGGUAAUACGUAGGGUCCGAGCGUUGUCCGGAAUUAUUGGGCGUAAAGAGCUCGUAGGCGGCAUGUCGCGUCUGCUGUGAAAGACCGGGGCUUAACUCCGGUUCUGCAGUGGAUACGGGCAUGCUAGAGGUAGGUAGGGGAGACUGGAAUUCCUGGUGUAGCGGUGAAAUGCGCAGAUAUCAGGAGGAACACCGGUGGCGAAGGCGGGUCUCUGGGCCUUACCUGACGCUGAGGAGCGAAAGCAUGGGGAGCGAACAGGAUUAGAUACCCUGGUAGUCCAUGCCGUAAACGUUGGGCGCUAGGUGUGGGGACUUUCCACGGUUUCCGCGCCGUAGCUAACGCAUUAAGCGCCCCGCCUGGGGAGUACGGCCGCAAGGCUAAAACUCAAAGGAAUUGACGGGGGCCCGCACAAGCGGCGGAGCAUGUUGCUUAAUUCGACGCAACGCGAAGAACCUUACCAAGGUUUGACAUCACCCGUGGACCUGUAGAGAUACAGGGUCAUUUAGUUGGUGGGUGACAGGUGGUG
rnacentral:rRNA from 1 species